rnacentral:rRNA from 1 species
UACGUAGGGUGCAAGCGUUGUCCGGAAUUAUUGGGCGUAAAGAGCUCGUAGGCGGUCUGUCGCGUCUGCUGUGAAAACUCAGGGCUUAACCCUGAGCUUGCAGUGGGUACGGGCAGACUAGAGUGCGGUAGGGGAGACUGGAAUUCCGUGGUGUAGCGGUGAAAUGCGCAGAUAUCAGGAGGAACACCGGUGGCGAAGGCGGGUCUCUGGGCCGUAACUGACGCUGGAGGAGCGAAAGCGUGGGGAGCGAACAGG